rnacentral:rRNA from 13 species
UUGUUAUUCUAAUCUAGUAUUGUAACUUGGUAGUGAGGCAGGAAUCCUUAGUAAUCUUUUGUUCGUUUCUUUUAGGUGAAGGAAAGAUAAACUUUGUACAUACUGCCCGUCAAGCGCUGAG